rnacentral:tRNA from 1 species
GCCGUUAUGGCGGAAUUGGUAGACGCACAAGCUUGAGGGGUUUGCGAGCUUCUGCUCAUCCCGGUUCGAGUCCGGGUAGCGGCA